rnacentral:lncRNA from 1 species
GUGAAGGUCUUAAGAAAUUGUCAAAUAUCGGACUAGAGGCUAAGUUAAAGGAAAGGGACAAAGUGCUUGAUAAUGGACAACAUCAUUUCUGUUGAAGAAAGAGUUUGCAAGGUUUCUGAAUAUCAACAACACACAUCCAAAGUCACAGAUGUUGAGGAAUUUGCAAACAGUGGACAUGUAACCAUUACAUCCUAAAGGUUCUUCAAGGUGAUGGAACAUUCACAGUUGAAUGGGACAAAUGAUUCAUUCAUGAAAGCAUGUUGGAUUUGACAUUCAAAAUUGCUUUGGGAAUUGAUGUUGACAGCAAUCAGCAUAACCAGGAAAUUUAAGGAAUUUUUAAAUAUCACACCAGAGGCUAAGCUAAAUGCAAGAAGAUCAAAGUGGUUGAUGAGUUUGUUUAUUAGCUGAUCUAGACCAAGACUGAACAAAUGAACAGGGGACAAGAUGAUUUCUAUUGAAGAAAGAAGACAUUCUAUCACAGAUGUUGAAGAAUUUGCAAACGGUGUGAGUGAAGAAAGCCUAGAAAAGAUACAGUAUCUUAAUGCAGAUUUUAACGAAACUCUCAAGACUCUAUCAUGCAGUUCCAGUGACUCACCAAAGGAACCCUUGAGCUGUUGUUACAAGUUGUGUCUGGUGGCAUUUGUCGCUCAUGGGCGAAACUUAUAAGCGAUGAAGAAUCAGUGGUUAAGAAACUUGCAUACGAUGACAACUUACCAACUGAUGAAGAGAAAAAGAACUGGCAAAUGAAGCAAAUCACCUCUACUGAAGAUUAAUGAAGAAGACUCGCCAAUGAAAAAGAGAUGUCACAUGUCAGCCUAUCAUUCGAUGAAGACAAUAUGCUGAGAAGAUGUUAUGCGUAACUGUCACUUGUCAAUUCCGUACAUCUCAACAAGAAUAUAAACACAUGUGUCCACAUUAAAUUUUUUUAUCACUUGACCCCAUAGCUUAGUGUGUCAAGCUUUUGAGUGCGAGUUCAGUGUGUGGCCUAUAUGUGUAAAACCUUCCAAGGAAAUUUGUAAGUCACCAUAUUCAUAGCUAGAGUGUUAGCUAGGAAAGUGUAUGUAAUUAUAACUUUAAUCCUUGGUUUAAAAAAGCAGGAAGCACACAAAAG